CCCGAGCCAUGACAAAGGCGCCGCAACAACUCGAUCACUUCCCGCUAACAAUACUACACAUUCAGCUCUUCCCUUAUCUCUUCCCCAAAUGGCCACCGGCUUUGCAAUUAGUCGAUGCUCUGCCUCAGCCUAUCAACGCGCCGUAGUCUAUCUAAGUAGACGGCAACAAUUCCAUGCCUUAUCUUCUCUAACCGCCAAAUCCAGAUUCUUAAAGUUGAAUAAUCUCACGAGAAAUUGCUCGUCUUCAUCAAACGCACCAUUUAUCGUAGCGGAGGAUGAAAAAUACGGUAACAAGCAAGUCAUCAGCAUCACUCCUCGGCUUUACGAUUAUAUUCUCGCCAAUGUUCGCGAGCCUCAGAUUCUCCGACAGUUACGCGAAGAAACCGCCAAUAUGCGCGGUAGUCAAAUGCAGGUGUCUCCUGAUCAAGCACAGUUACUAGCGAUGCUAGUGCAGAUUCUGGGGGCUGAAAGAUGCAUCGAAAUCGGUGUUUACACUGGAUACUCUUCAUUGGCUAUUGCAUUGGCUCUACCAGAAUCAGGCUGUUUAGUUGCCUGUGAAAGGGAUGCUAGAUCUCUUGAGGUUGCAAAAAAGUAUUAUGAGCUAGCCGGUGUUUCACAGAAGGUAAUUGUGAAACAUGGACUAGCUGCGGAUGCCUUGAAAUCUAUGAUUCUGAAUGGUGAGGCUUGCAGCUAUGAUUUUGCAUUUGUGGAUGCUGAAAAGAGGAUGAAUCAAGAAUAUUUUGAACUGCUACUACAGUUGGUUAGGGUUGGGGGACUCAUCGUGGUUGAUAAUGUCCUUUGGCAUGGAAAAGUUGCUGACCCAUUGGUAAAUGAUGCGAAGACUGUUAGCAUUAGGAAUUUCAAUAGAAAUGUAAUGGAGGACAAGCGUGUAAGCAUCAGUAUGGUACCUAUUGGAGAUGGAAUGACAAUCUGCCAAAAACGAUGAUCUAAGUCAUACUUACUGCUUGACUUGUUGGUUUAUUCCUAGGAAGUCAAAACCAUGGUUCAUGUUUGUGCAACAUCCUCUGGAAAAUGCACUCAUAUUUUAAAAUGGUCACGUAGUUAAUUUACUUGACAGGUGCCUAGUGGGUUGAUUGAAGGUCAAGUCUUUAAACCAGUGCGACCAUCAACAGGCCCGCCACAUCCUUUGAAAUUCAUUCAGACAGAAUGAUCUUCCAGCGGUUGUUUCUUCCCGUUUUAGAUCUCUGCAUACAACAGGAAUCGAGGUAAGAAAGCUGUUUGUUUGCAUCUAGGGGUCCAACUAUGCCAUUGUGACGGUGCUUAUUGCAUGGUUUAAGGCCACAAAACAAAAAGGCUGUGGCCAAAAUUUCUCCACUUGGAUCACCCCUCAGCCUUGUACUUAUUCGGAAUACUGGGUUAUGAAUUUUAUUUGAAAGUAGCGUUACAUGGAUGCCAGAGUACGCCUUGAUGAUGCAAAAUCGUUGUUUGGUGGAAAAAGACGUCAACUUUUCUCUGCUGGGAACAGCUUUCAUUUGACGUUGUUAUGUUGGAACCAUCGGAAAUUUAAAGUCCGUUCAAAGA